rnacentral:lncRNA from 1 species
GUGUUUUUUAAUAAUUCCUACUUGUCAACAGAUUCCCCUUCUGGUGGAGUAGGGUAACUGUUUCUGGCCAGUUUAAUCCUAACAGCAGGAGUUAGCCCUAGAGUGAAGAAGACAGGAAAACUAAAAAAUGUGAACACAAGAACUCAGUUGUGUUUAAAUAGGACUAUUACUUGGAAAAACUGUGAUAAAUGUUUAUUUAUUUCAAGUUUCUCUUUUUGUUGACAUUUUCAGUAUAGUUCUCUCCUCUUCCUCUCAAAUGCUGCACAUUUCUCUUUCUCUCUUCUUUGUUCUUUCUAUUUUUAAAUUUUUUUCCCAAAAAUUGUAAAUUGGAAAGGUUCUGAUAAAUCACAUUGUGGUUUAAAAAUAUUUUCUUAAUAUGCCACUUUGUUUUUUCAUUAUCUAAUUUGGUCUCUUCUCCCAGCAUUUUAUAGUACUUCUUUGUAUCUUAAACCAUUUGGAGAGGUGAAGAAAUGAAUUGUCAGUCUUUCCUAACCAGAAAUGUGAGUUUAUUCAAGAAAAAUUCUUAACUGCUUGAAGUUAUUUUCUUAGUAUCACUUCCUUAUCCAUCUGCAGUGGUCUGUAGGCCUGCUUCAAACACAUAGUUGUUGACAAAAUAAAGAGAGGACUUUUAAGAUUAAUUAUUAGACCAAUAGCAUAUUGUUAUAUCUGGAAAAAGAAAUUCUUUUAAGGCAUACUAUUUGUGAAUAUUUAAGUGCUUAAAUCAAAUUAAUAAGAAUAGUUCAUGGGAACAAAAACAAAUGAUUAAGGAAAAAUCCAGGCAACGGGUCCUAUCAUACUUCUUAUCUUUAAGAGUAUCUUACUACUAAUAUUUACAUUAUCAUGUUGCCUUACAUCAGCAUGAAGCUGCUCUGUUCACCACCAUCAUACAAUCUCAAAGUAAGCAAAUAGAAAUAGCACAAAUAGGAUGGGAUUUUUGAACAUAUUUUUACUUAAAAAAAAAAAAACCUACUAGAAGUUUGAUUGAUAGUAAGUAUAUGCAGAACGAUCACCAGCAAAUGGGAUACAAAUUAUUAGGUUUAUUGCUGGAUGAACAAGUUGCCAAAGCUCUACCAAGUCUGACCUUUCUGCUAAUAACUUGCCUGUGGAACACUGCUUGGAUCCUUUUCUUCAGAUGAUAUUCUUAUUCUAACCCUGAAUGUAGACCUUGAAUUCUCCCUAUGAAAAGAGUUGGGUCAGCAGAACAGUUUCCAAGUCAAUAUAAUUAAUUUGCCACCUCAUUACAAUGCAGUUGUCAGACUAGAAGUGAGCGAAUUGUUUCCUACCCAUGAGUGCCCACAGUAGAAUAAAAAGUGCAGAGUAGGGUAAAAGGGGAGCAGUGCCUUCUGCAUUUUACCACAGAUAAAUACAUUAAAGUGGGUUUAAUAUAUUUCUCUCUUCUAACUCAAAAUAACUCACUACUGGAAUAUUGUUCAGCAAGUGUCAGGCUCUGGCCACUGGGAGGAGAAAACAAGAAAAGAACUCACGCAGCACUUUCAAGGGAAAAUUAUUGGCGGAAGCUACUCAUGUUGGUUGAAGUCAGGAAUGCUGGGAGAGGAGAGGACCUUCAACAACAUUCUUUCAUUUUGAAGGCAAUUUAAAAACAAAUAUUUAUUAUGUAUAGCUCAAUCUAUAGUUUUCACCUUUAUAUGAAUUCCUCAGUUUCAAAGUUUGUUUCAAGUUAUUUACUGUGAUUUUGUGACAAAUACUUUUUUUUUUUUUAAUUUUUUAUUGUGGGUUGUUCAAAACAUUACAAAUUUCUUGACAUAUCAUAUUCCACACUUUGAUUCAAGUGGGUUAUGAACUCCCACCUUCACCCCAUACACAAAUUGCAGAAUCACAUCAGUUACACAUCCAUUGAUUUACAAAUUGCCAUACUAGUGAGUGACAAAUACUUUAAACAAUUGUGAUUUUUAAAAGUUCUUUUGUGAACAGAUAAAUAUAUGUGUAAAAAAUAUAAAACUUUUGAUGUAUGGAGUCAUUAGAAGGAUGAUGAUUUUUAUCUAAAGGAAAAUAGUAUUUUGAAACUACCUCUUUUUUUCCCCUUUGUAUAACAAGACAAAAAUGAUAAUAUUACGAAUAAAUGUAGAAGUAAUGAGUUGUUUCAGAGACCUAAAUAGUGAUGUUGAGUAGUGAUGUAACUAAUGACUAAUGCUUCUUAGAAGCUUUCCAGUGAUAUACAAUUCCAUAACCUAAAAUAAGUUUAAGCAUUUACUGAG